ACCCUGAUGCAGCGACGCCGCGUGAANGAAGAAGUAUNUCGGUAUGUAAACUUCUAUCAUCAGGGAAGAUAAUGACGGUACCUGACUAAGAAGCCCCGGCUAACUACGUGCCAGCAGCCGCGGUAAUACGUAGGGGGCAAGCGUUAUCCGGAUUUACUGGGUGUAAAGGGAGCGUAGACGGUGUGGCAAGUCUGAUGUGAAAGGCANGGGCUCAACCCNUGGACUGCAUUGNAAACUGUCNUACUUGANUGCCGGAGGGGUAAGCGNANUUCCUAGUGUANCGGUGAANUGCNUAAAUAUUAGGAGGAACACCAGUGGCGAAGGCGGNUUACUGGACGGUAACUGACGUUGAGGCUCGAAAGCGUGGGGAGCAAACAGGAUUAAAUACCCUGGUAGUCCACGCCGUAAACGAUGANUACUAGGUGUCGGGGAGCAAAGCUNUUCGGUGCCGNCGCAAACGCANUAAGUAUUCCCCCUGGGGAGUACGUUCGCAAGAAUGAAACUCAAAGGAAUUUGACGG
rnacentral:rRNA from 1 species